UCCUACGGGGCGCAGCAGUGGGGAAUAUUGCACAAUGGGGGAAACCCUGAUGCAGCGACGCCGCGUGAGUGAAGAAGUAUUUCGGUAUGUAAAGCUCUGUCAGCAGGGAAGAAAAUGACGGUACCUGACCAAGAAGCCCCGGCUAACUACGUGCCAGCAGCCGCGGUAAUACGUAGGGGGCAAGCGUUAUCCGGAUUUACUGGGUGUAAAGGGAGCGUAGACGGCAGGGCAAGUCUGGAGUGAAAGGCGGGGGCUCAACCACCGGACUGCUCUGGAAACU
rnacentral:rRNA from 1 species